AGCAGCCGCGGUAAUUCCAGCUCCAAUAGCGUAUACUAAAGUUGUUGCAGUUAAAAGCUCGUAGUUGAAUUUCGGGAUCAAGGUGCCGGUCAUGCCUUUGGUAUGUACUGACAUCAUUGAUUUCUCCUUUCUGAUGAACUGUGAUGUCAUUAAUUUGGUGUCAUGGAGAAUCAGGACUGUUACUUUGAAAAAUUGAGUGUUUAAAGCAAGCACACGCUUGAAUACAUUAGCAUGGAAUAAUGAAAUAGGACGUUUGAUCCUAUUUUGUUGGUUUCUAGGAUCGACGUAAUGAUUAAUAGGGAUAGUUG
rnacentral:rRNA from 1 species